rnacentral:rRNA from 2 species
UACGGAGGGGGCAAGCGUUGUUCGGAAUUACUGGGCGUAAAGGGCGCGUAGGCGGCCUGUUGCGUCAGGUGUGAAAGCCCCGGGCUCAACCUGGGAUGUGCACUUGAUACGGGCGGGCUGGAAUCCGGGAGAGGAUGGUGGAAUUCCCAGUGUAGAGGUGAAAUUCGUAGAUAUUGGGAAGAACACCGAUGGCGAAGGCAGCCAUCUGGACCGGUAUUGACGCUGAGGCGCGAAAGCGUGGGGAGCAAACAGG